rnacentral:rRNA from 1 species
AUACUCGGGUCAGGGGGCCGGGGGUAAUCAGAGGGGGCGAGGCGUUAAUGGAAUGUCUUGGCUGUAAGCGAGGGUUGGUGGCUGAAGAAGUCACGUGUGAAAUCCCCGGGCGUAAACUGGGAACUGCAUGUGAUACUGGUUGUGCUAGAAUAUGGUAGAGGGAAGUAGAAUUCCAGGUGUAGCGGUGAAAUGCGUAGAGAUCUGGAGGAAUACCGAUGGCGAAGGCAGCUUCCUGGCAUAAUAUUGACACUGAGGUUCGAAAGCGUGGGGAGCAAACAGGAUUAGAUACCCGAGUAGUC